GUGGGGAAUUUUGGACAAUGGGCGCAAGCCUGAUCCAGCCAUUCCGCGUGCAGGAUGAAGGCCUUCGGGUUGUAAACUGCUUUUGUACGGAACGAAAAGGUUCUCUCUAAUACAGGGGGCUGAUGACGGUACCGUAAGAAUAAGUACCGGCUAACUACGUGCCAGCAGCCGCGGUAAUACGUAGGGUGCAAGCGUUAAUCGGAAUUACUGGGCGUAAAGCGUGCGCAGGCGGUGAUGUAAGACAGAUGUGAAAUCCCCGGGCUCAACCUGGGAACUGCAUUUGUGACUGCAUUGCUGGAGUGCGGCAGAGGGGGAUGGAAUUCCGCGUGUAGCAGUGAAAUGCGUAGAUAUGCGGAGGAACACCGAUGGCGAAGGCAAUCCCCUGGGCCUGCACUGACGCUCAUGCACGAAAGCGUGGGGAGCAAACAGGAUUAGAUACCCGUGUAGUCC
rnacentral:rRNA from 1 species